rnacentral:rRNA from 1 species
CGGACGGGUGAGUAAUGUCUGGGAAACUGCCUGAUGGAGGGGGAUAACUACUGGAAACGGUAGCUAAUACCGCAUAACGUCGCAAGACCAAAGAGGGGGACCUUAGGGCCUCUUGCCAUCGGAUGUGCCCAGAUGGGAUUAACUAGUAGGUGGGGUAAUGGCUCACCUAGGCGACGAUCCCUAGCUGGUCUGAGAGGAUGACCAGCCACACUGGAACUGAGACACGGUCCAG